rnacentral:tRNA from 1 species
GGAGAGAUGACCGAGUGGUUGAAGGUAACGGUCUUGAAAACCGUCGUGCCGGAAACGGUACCGAGGGUUCGAAUCCCUCUCUCUCCGCCA